rnacentral:rRNA from 1 species
UACGGGGGGGGCAAGCGUUGUUCGGAAUUACUGGGCGUAAAGGGCUCGUAGGCGGCCAACUAAGUCAGACGUGAAAUCCCUCGGCUUAACCGGGGAACUGCAUCUGAUACUGGAUGGCUUGAGUUCGGGAGAGGGAUGCGGAAUUCCAGGUGUAGCGGUGAAAUGCGUAGAUAUCUGGAGGAACACCGAUGGCGAAAGCAGCGUGCUGGACCUUUUCUGACGCUGAGGCGCGAAAGCCAGGGGAGCAAACGGG